rnacentral:rRNA from 1 species
UACGAAGGGGGCUAGCGUUGUUCGGAAUUACUGGGCGUAAAGGGCGCGUAGGCGGUGUGUCAAGUCAGGCGUGAAAGCCCCGGGCUCAACCUGGGAACAGCGCUUGAGACUGGCACGCUCGAGUUCGGGAGAGGAUGGUGGAAUUCCCAGUGUAGAGGUGAAAUUCGUAGAUAUUGGGAAGAACACCGAUGGCGAAGGCAGCCAUCUGGACCGACACUGACGCUGAGGCGCGAAAGCAUGGGGAGCGAACAGG